rnacentral:tRNA from 1 species
GCCAAUGUGGUAUAGUGGUUUGAGUAUUGGACUACGACUCUGGAGACCAAGGUUUGAUUCCCCACUUUGACA